rnacentral:lncRNA from 1 species
CCAAUAAUAUUAUAUUAAUCUCUCAAAUAAUUGUUGUUAUCAUCAUCGACACUAAUGGUAGGUAGUAAUUCAUAUUGAAAUAUGAUCACAUUAUCAUUAUGUACAGUAUAAGUACCGUACGUACAAGAAAUUUAUUGACCCUCGUGUAUAUAUGUAUGUAUGUAUGUAAUGUGUGUGUGUGUGUAUAUAUAUAUAUAUAAACAUAUAAGCUGGCCUAUGAUGACACCAAAAGUCGAGAUAAAAGUCGAAGCAUGUGUCCAGCCAGGAAUCUUCCAACUUGUUGCGUUACCAUCAACCAAUUACUAUUGCCGCACCAAAUCAUGCACGAUGACAUGGUGUUGCCACUGCCACAACUUGCCUACUUUCUCAAGCUGCUACAUAUAUAUAUAUAUAUAUAUACAAUAUAUAUAGUCCAUCAUAUAUAUAUAUAUAUAUACAUAUUAAUUAAGAUCUUUUUUUUUAAAAAAAAAAGGUUCUUUCCUUCAAAAAGAGAGAUUUUUUUUAUAUAUAAGAGUUUUGAAGUAUCAAAUCAAUGUCUGCAGCCGCAUCUUGGUUACUUCUGCUGCUGAAGUGUAGCUUGACUACAUCAUCCAUGUGUGUCGCACGCACUUGACUCAUCACUCCACACUCUCCUGCGGGGAUUGUCUUCUCCCUUCACUUCUCUCCCCCUCUAUAUAUAACACUCCCAAUCUCUUCCUUUCCAUUCA